AUUUAUAUAGUUUAACUUAAAACACUUCAUUUUCAAUGAAGUAAUGAAUUUUUAAUUCUAUAAAUA
rnacentral:tRNA from 1 species